UUUAUUAGCAUUUAAAACGACAAAUUAUAAAUAUUUCAGUGAAUAUAUAAAGUUUCAGAAAAGUUUCUAUUCACAUCGCAUUUCAAGCAGAAUCUAAAGAUCUUUUACAACGUUUUAGAGUGUAUUUUGAAAUAUAAAUCAUGAAGGUUUUCGCUGUAUUGGCUUUAUUCUCCUGCCUCGUUGCUAUGGUAAUUGGAGCCCAAACUGCAUGCCAAUUGCAAAGACAACAAGAACAGGCUAAAAACGUUGUUGGCAACUUCAUUCCGAAAUGUGAUGCAGAUGGUAGCUACAGCCAAGUACAGUGCCACGGAUCAACUGGAUACUGCUGGUGCGCUGACAAAGAUGGAAACCAACUCACCAAAUCUGCCCGAGGAAAACCAAACUGUUAGAAAUCGUUAAAAUAAACAGUUUAAUUUCAAUAAAGAAUAUAUCAAAAAUUUAAAAGAAUGGUGAAUGAAUAACUACUUUAAAAGUAUCCAAACAAUAUUUUUUUAUAAAACUAAUAACGAAAUUAAAUGACGCUGCUCAGAACGCUUACUCAACAGAAGAGCUACGCUAAAAUGAAAUUUAAGUAAUACCGUAAUAAGUUUAGGAAAAUCAGUUUCAGAAUAUAAAGAAAGCACGUUUCAUCAUUUAUCCGAAAGAUGAGCUGCGCUAAAAAUAUUUAAGUAAUAUUUUAUUAAGUUUUAAAAAAAUCAGUUUCAGAAUAUAAAAAAAAGCACGUUUGAUCAUUUAUCCGAAAGAUGAGCUACGCUAAAAAAAUUUGAGUAAUAUUUUAUUAAGUUUAAAAUAAAUCAGUUUCAGAAUAUAAAGAAAGCACGUUUGAUCAUUUAUCCGAAAGUUGAGCUACGCUAAAAAAAUGUAAGUAAUAUUUUAUUAAGUUUAAAAAAAUCAGUUUCAGAAUAUAAAGAAAGCAUGUUUGAUCAUUUAUCCGAAAGAUGAGCUACGCUAAAAAAAUUUAAGUAAUAUUUUAUUAAGUUUAAAAUAAAUCAGUUUCAGAAUAUAAAGAAAGCACGUUUGAUCAUUUAAUUGAAAGUUGAUCUACGCUAAAAAAAAUUAAGUAAUAUUUUAUUAAGUUUAAAAAAAUCAGUUUCAGAAUAUAAAGAAAGCACGUUUGAUCAUUUAUCCGAAAGAUGAGCUACGCUAAAGAAAUUUAAGUAAUAUUUUAUUAAGUUUAAAAUAAAUCAGUUUCAGAAUAUAAUGAAAGCACGUUUGAUCAUUUAUCCGAAAGAUGAGCUACGCUAAAAGAAUUUAAGUAAUAUUUUAUUAAGUUUGAAAAAAAUCAGUUUCAGAAUAUAAAGAAGGCACGUUUGAUCAUUUAUCCGAAAGAUGAGCUACGCUAAAAAAAUUUAAGUAAUAUUUAAUUAAGUUUAAAAAAAUCAGUUUCAGAAUAUAAAGAAAGCACGUUUGAUCAUUUAUCCGAAAGAUGAGCUACGCUAAAAAAAUUUAAGUAAUAUUUUAUUAAGUUUAAAAUAAAUCAGUUUCAGAAUAUAAAGAAAGCACGUUUGAUCAUUUAAUUGAAAGUUGAUCUACGCUAAAAAAAAUUAAGUAAUAUUUUAUUAAGUUUAAAAAAAUCAGUUUCAGAAUAUAAAGAAAGCACGUUUGAUCAUUUAUCCGAAAGAUGAGCUACGCUAAAAAAAUUUAAGUAAUAUUUUAUUAAGUUUAAAAUAAAUCAGUUUCAGAAUAUAAAGAAAGCACGUUUGAUCAUUUUUCCAUUAGAAGACUUUAAAAAAAGUUUAAGUAAUAUUUUAUUAGGUUUUAAAAAAUCAGUUGAGAACGUGAAGAAAGCGUUUCGUCUUACAAAAAUAUGUUAUAGUUCUGCAUUUAAAACCAGUCACCCCUCGUUGCACAAAGUCACCCCAUUUGACGGUACUCGAUAUUUCCUCCUUUUCAGAUUUAAAGCUAACAAAUAGUCAGGAGCUCCUCAACUAUUCGAAUUGGGAAGUUUUGGUCACAGAAACAAACUCUAAUCAUAAAUACAUUAAAAUCCAACUAAACAAUUCUUUUUCUUUCUCAUCCCUUAUGAGAUUUAAAACAAAAUACGGUAAUCAUAGCAAAUUUAAGAAAAAAUUUUCAAAAUUUCAUAAUGAAUUAAAUAUUAAUUUGGAUAACAUAGUCACCCCAUUUCAACUAAACGAUUUCACAGACGACUUAAUCUAUAAAAUUUUUAAUUCUUGUAAGCUUUCGUAUAAAAUGAAAGCAUUUAGCAAGCAAUCAAAUCCCACACGAUGGAAUAAUAAAUUGUUGAUACUCCAAAAAGAACUGAAAGCGACUAGGAAAAGAUACCAACGUUCAAAAAUAGAAGAUGAAAUUAACAAAUACAAAAUCAUCUAUAAACUUAAAAGAGCCCAUUUUAAAAAAGAAAUUCUCAAAGCUGAAUAUAAUAGUUGGAAAUUUUUAUGUGAAAACACCAACAAUACAUUUGAAAAGCACUAUAAAACAUCUUUUAAGACAAAUCCUCAUCCCUCCAUAUUUAUAGAUAUAUAUAACACUAACUCACCUAUAAAAGAAGGUUCACAUAUCUUAGAGAAUCUUUUCCCGGACGAUAACAUAAUCCCAAUAGACAAUUUCCAUUAACCAAAUUCUAAUCUUAACCCACCUUUUACAUACAAUGAAUUAGUUAAUUUAAUUAAAACUCUAAAUAAUAAUAAAGCCCCUGUCAUUGACGGUAUUGAUAACAUAAGUCAAAAAACUUUUUCUAUUUUUUGGUAAUCUAAUUCUAAAAUAUUUCAACAAGUACCUCUCACUCAAUUGCUUUCCAGAUCAUUUUGAAGAAGGGCAAGUUCUGCUAUUUCUGAAAACUAAUAAAAAACCAAAACUAUUAUCAUCAUACAGGCCAAUUACACUACUCCCUUGUUUAGACAAAUUUCUAGAAAAACUUAUUAUCAAGAGAAUUAACUAUUACAUAGAAAAAUACAACAUUUUAUCAGGCAAAAAAAUUGUUUUUUUCGCUUCGGCAAAUCUAUAAAUUAUGCACUUCAAAAUUUUCUAGAUAAUGUAAAACAUCUCAAAAACAACUUUAAACAUGUCGCAGCCACCUCACUGGAUAUUAAAGGCGCAUUUGUCAAUCGCAAACGCGUCAUAGCCCGUUUUACAGGGAUGACCCAAUCAUAGUCAAUUCAUUCUUCCACACUUCGUAAACUGAACCAGAGAAUUCCAGAGUUAUUAAUUUAUUAUGGGAACUUAGAGGACUUUGUGACCCCGACAGAUUUAACGUGCACCAGUCACCAUUUAGUCACCACACGGGAAUUCUUCGUACCGUGGCAUCCGAACUCUCAACCACUACUGGGGUUGGGGAGGACAAGAAAAGUUCUGUUUUUAUUUAUUGUUCGUUUGUUCUGCAUUUUUACACUAUUGAUAAACAGUUAUUACUGUACUUAUCGUAAUGAUACGUUCAUAUCUAUAUUAAAAUAUCGCAACGGCAGUCGCUGCUUUGGGAGUUCAACUUAACAUUAUAUUUUGCUUUGCUGUGAAAAAACUCUUUAAUUUAGAAACUUGAAUUUACAAAGGUGUGUUAAAAACAGUACAAAAAGUACUGAGAAAUAAAAUAAAAUUAUUAUUUAUAUAAUAACAUAUAUAUUACUUAUAUAAUAGUUAAAAAAAUUAAUAAACUGUAAAACUCGUAGGGGACCAUGUUCGACCGAUCUGUAAUUUGCUGAAGUAUGCAACUUCGGAUUUAAAAUUUGACAAACUAAAAGAGCCCUUUAUUUUAAAUUUUUAUUUUUAAAACAAUUUCAAAACGUUCGAAAGUUAUUGUUGAAUUAUGUGAUUUUUCGCGAACUUUUUCAGCUUUAAUUUAUUUAGAUAUAAACUAUUUUUCAUUAUUAAAAGAAGACUUAUAAACUCACACUCGAGCAGAUGUUAAACAAAACAAGAAAUUUGAACGAGAUUACAUGUUGUUGGAUAUAAAUAUUAAAUGCAUAAUUCUGUAAAAGGGAAAAGUGUGGAAAAAAUAUCCAAAAGUGGCAAAUCUGAUCAAAAUUCUGGAAACCUAUUUGUUUACUUUCGGUCUAUCUUUUCCGCGAAUGCACUACAGAUUCAAAUGAAUUAAUUACUUCUUAAAACUAAGUACUUCCAGCUAAUCAGAGUUAAACUUAUAUUUUAGACUUUUUUGAUUCGUUUUCGAGUUGAUAAACGAUUUUAGUGUUUUUGAUAUUGAAAGUUUUGGUAGGUUUAAAAUUAACAAGGUCUAAAAUUAGAAAGAUUGGCCAUCUAUUGUGCAAUUGAUUGAACAGAAUUAGCACAUUUGUUUUGAAGGUUUUCAAACUUCCUUGAGAUUUGUUUCAUGACGCCUGCUUUGGUGUAACAUUUGUAUUGAUCAACGCUUCCAUUGCAAAAAGGAAAAUAAAAAUGAAGUUCAUCAUUAUUUUGGUUUUGUUGUUAUGCCUCAUUGCUGUUGUAGUUGGCUCCACAAAAUGCGAAAAACAUCGAAAAAAAGAAUUGAAAAAGAGUGAAAAGGGUAUAGUUGGCAACU